CGCGUAGGCGGUUUGUUAAGUCAGAUGUGAAAGCCCUGGGCUCAACCUGGGAACUGCAUUUGAUACUGUCGGACUGGAGUAUGGUAGAGGGAAGUGGAAUUCCGGGUGUAGCGGUGAAAUGCGUAGAUAUCCGGAGGAACACCAGUGGCGAAGGCGACUUCCUGGACCGAUACUGACGCUGAGGUGCGAAAGCGUGGGUAGCAAACA
rnacentral:rRNA from 1 species